GUUCGUGAUGACUGAUAAUUUCUUCACUUUGACCUGAUGUCUACUGAAGAAAUCCAGCGUCUGAGG
rnacentral:snoRNA from 1 species